CCACACUGGAACUGAGACACGGUCCAGACUCCUACGGGAGGCAGCAGUGGGGAAUAUUGCACAAUGGGCGCAAGCCUGAUGCAGCCAUGCCGCGUGUAUGAAGAAGGCCUUCGGGUUGUAAAGUACUUUCAGCGAGGAGGAAGGCAUUAAGGUUAAUAACCUUAGUGAUUGACGUUACUCGCAGAAGAAGCACCGGCUAACUCCGUGCCAGCAGCCGCGGUAAUACGGAGGGUGCAAGCGUUAAUCGGAAUUACUGGGCGUAAAGCGCACGCAGGCGGUUUGUUAAGUCAGAUGUGAAAUCCCCGGGCUCAACCUGGGAACUGCAUUUGAAACUGGCAAGCUUGAGUCUUGUAGAGGGGGGUAGAAUUCCAGGUGUACGCGGUGAAAUACGUAGAGAUCUGGAGGAAUACCCGGUGGCGAAGGCGGCCCCCUGGACAAAGACU
rnacentral:rRNA from 1 species